UGCCGUUUUGGUUACUUUUAACCAAUUUUGGUUAUUUUUUUCUUGCCUGUGAAGUUGUUAAUAUCUUUCCCAUUUUGGUUAUUUUUAACAUUUACUGUAGUUUCUAAUUUUUGUAUACAUACAAUAAUUAAAUCUUUGAAAAAUAGUGUAAACAAAUACAUUUAUUCUGCUCAAUAUUGGUUAUUUAACUAAAGUUAUUACUACUAAAAUGGCAACUCAAGAUUCGACUUAUUCCGAUAAUAAUCAUGUGUUUACAUAUGCAAAAGAACAUGUAAAAGUUCGAGGGUGCAACUAUUAUCGGGUCCAAAGAACGUAAAUCUAUAAGAAGAGACAACACGUUAUAAUUGUAACGAGUCAUUUCUUGUCGGGUCGUAUCUUUAAUAAAUCGCGGUGAAUUAAUCGCCAAGCUUUUGAAACGGCCCCGUAGUUACACCGUUUCUUUGUUCUUUGCACACACCUACAUAAUAUGUAUGUGCCUGAAAUGACAUUUGAGUAAUAUGAGAGUCAUUAAAAAGCCGCGAAAAAUUAUUAGAAUUCCGCGCAAAAUUGGUGUUUCAAGUUAAUUUAUACGGGCUCAAUUCUAUGGAUAAGUUCGUUAUAAGACAUAGGCCAGCAACACCUGUCGAGGUUGAGGAGAGUAGCAGCAGCAGUGGCAGCCCCAGCAGUGAAACCAAAAUACAGAAUAUACAUGGUCGCCUAAAGACUACUUCAAAUGAAUACAUACUCAGAUAGUACAUAUAUAAAUACCUCGUAUAUGCGGAAUC